rnacentral:rRNA from 1 species
GGAUCAGGUAGGGAUACCCGCUGAACUUAAGCAUAUCAAUAAGCGGAAGGGAA